GAUAAGUAAUGUGAAUUGCAGAAUUCAGUGAAUCAUCGAAUCUUUGAACGCACCUUGCACCCCUUGGUAUUCCGAGGGGUACACCUGUUUGAGUGUCGUG
rnacentral:rRNA from 1 species